GUCGGGGGAGGAAGAAGGGCAGAUUAGCAUGAGAUUUAAAAUGAUAAGGUCUUUUUGGCAAAAUUACAAUUGAACUGCGCCGGUGACAACUUUUCCCGGACGGAGGGAGUACAAAUAAAUAAAAAAUAUCCUAUAGUCUAGAACUAUGUUUCUCAAUUAAGCUAAAAUAUAACAUAAGGAACAAUACUUUUUCAUUCACAGACUAAUCCUGGCUCCCUUUUCAAAUCCUGAACUACCCAAUUACUCCUGGCUCCCUUAAUGCACUCUCUUUUCAAAUACUGAACCGCCCUGGGAAAGCAAAUGAACAAUGUUUUUAGACAAGUGCAAGAUAAGAUGUUCUUUGAUAAAUUAUAAGUGUAUCAUACAAAUGCUUCGUUGGAGUGGUUGGCUUAGUUUUUUUCUUACCUAAAAACAGCCACAAAGAUUUCGAUAACUAAAAUAUCUUAAAUGUGGAUAUUGGAGCAUACUUGAUGGUUGUAUGGAAACAUACUUACAUGUGAGGAAGGCCAAGCAAUAACAUAACCAGCAUCUCCUGCUGUUUGGAGUUUUUCAUAUGGUCUAACCAGUUCUCAUCUCCUAGAUAUAGCUACGGACAGAGACUGCAACAUAUUGUUCUCCAAGCAUGUUUCCUUCAACCACAUAUGUUCUAUAUUUACUCCCUAAAAUUCCAUUGGCCAAGGGUUUGUUUUUGCUUCUCAAAUUGAUCGAAAAGAACAAGACUUCAGUUUUAUCACACUUUUGCAAGAAAUAGAACAUUUGCUAUUAAUAAAACUGGGAAGAUUUCACUUUACGCAAAGAAGGACAAUUUCAUAGAGAAUUAGACCAACUACAAUUAUACAACCGUUUGGAUACCUAGCAUAUAUGUACCUGCUUAUUGACUUGGUGAAAACCACCUAGCCUGACUGCACUGUUAUUUUCAGUAUGAGCAUUAUGCAAUUAAAUAGUAAGAGUUAUGAAUGGAGAGAUAUAACCAGCUCAAGAAUGAUAAUUUCCAAGAGUUCUGAUAUCAUGUACUAGGAAUGCACUAAGCAGCCCUAUUCUACACAUACUUUUGAUCAGCUUAGAUUAAGGUUUUGUUACAACAUAAUAAUUUAUUUUGAAAGCUAAACAUGCAUGGAUGAUGCAAACAAAUAAAGUACUCGUCAUGUAAACUAGAAGUGUAUGUGUGUUUUCUGUGCUGGCCUAUAGUGCUGAGUGAUCUUGCGAUGUUGUUUCCAUCAUAUAUUCAUUGUACUAUAAUGUAAAGCAAUGCUAACAUGCCAGGCCCGAAACAUUUUAAGUUCAUUUAUGUGAUUAUAAAUUAUCAAAUGUAACCGUGACCAUAAAUCAAUGGAUUAUGACAUGUUUAAUCAUAGUAUAUCACUUUCUAGCCGACAUUUGGAAGUUAAAAAAAUAACCAUUAAUCAUGAGACAAAUAAACAAGGAAGUGGACUUAAUGAAUUUUAUCAUCAAACUGCAUGAGCAAAAUAGCUUGCCAUCUAACCUUACACCUCCAGUCCGUGCUUCCUUUGAAAUGCUCUCCCCUGAAAUGGACAAAGAGAUUGUAAAUAAUGUGCAUGCUUUAUCAAAAGGUAACACCUGUUGGGCGUGAAAAAACAUGACCAUUUUUCAGUCCCAGGAAUGGCAACAUCGUUAGACAUUUAUGUUUCUCCUAGAGAUAGCAAGGCUAGUAUAUAGGCCACUGAAGUAGCUAAAUAAUGGACGGUGAAUGAAAUCAAAUUAUUCGCUAUAGGCAGAAUUAAACUAAGAGAUAAUAUCAUCAAUCGCAAAUGAUAGCCAUUAUCAGAUAAGGACUGCCAGAUAGCAGAAAGAAGAAAAUCCUCUUUCGAAACAGGAGAAGCAGAGCCAAAUCACCAGAGUAACACCUAUAUAACUCUGUUCUACUUCUGCACAUAUAUAGUGAACAUUUCAUUAAGCAAACAAUUACCAUAUUUGCAUAUUACCACUGAAAUAGUUGGUUUCAAACAAUCAUAUAUUUUCUCCCUAUCUUUUCUUUUCUUUGCUGAACUAGAUGUACUAUUCAUGUUCAUAACAAAAGAUACAUUAUUCUUCUAUUCUCUAAUUCACAAAGGUGAUGAAAUAAAUUUAAGUAAAAUAUGUUAUGCGAUCUUUUUUUUUCCUGGGUGAAACAGAACAUGCUAUGUGAUUGUUGAAUACACGGAUGCAAUCAAAACAUGGAUGCGCCAUUUUCGUGUCAUCUGUCCAUUUACUUGGUUGUGUGAUGUGACAAUUCUCAAAAUGUUAUCAAUUUUCUACUAACUUCGAAUCUUAAUUCCAUUUGUUUCACAAUGCAGGGGGGCGGCUGUGGGCUGUGGUAGACCAAUUUGUACUACUUGCCAGAAAGGAGUAACUACGAACAGACAAGGGAGGAGGCUAGACAGACCUUCAAAGGAAAUUGUUUGUCCUGUAUGACCGCAUCACUUGGGAUCAAGUGGAGUGAGUCCAAUAAAUAGCACUCAGGCAUGAAACGUCAGAGGUCAAAUCACGCGCUGGUAGCUCCAAGGCAACAACGUCGAUGGCAACCAAUCCCCGCACAACGACUAGAGUUUUGCCAGGAGGGACGUGCGCAAGGGCGGAUGGCAAAACGGCGACAAGGAGCCGAGCCAAAGGUGGUCUCCGGCGCCAACACCGCCGCCCUGCAAAUCCGUCAUUGCCACGCAACAGGUUGUACGCCAAACAUGACGAGCAUUGUACAUGCUGGUAGUUUUUCACCUCUCCCCAGGAUCUGUAAACAACACGCAACCCAACCGAGAAGCAAUCAAACCGAGCGAACUGUAUGUACGCCCAACAUUCAGAAGAUUUUUUUAUUGGUGUGAAUAUCUACUCUACUCCUACCACGGAGGUAGUUUUUCACCUCUCCCCAGGAUCUGUAAACAACAUGCAACCCAACCGAGAAGCAAUCAAACCGAGCGAACUGUAUGUACGCCCAACAUUCAGAAGAUUUUUUUAUUGGUGUGAAUAUCUACUCUACUCCUACCACGGAGCAGGGAGCCUGCAGUUUGCAGAGUCGAACAACAAAAAUUGACAACGAUUAAGCAGGAAAUCAAUUUACUACACAAGUUUGAGACACUAGAAGAAUUCGAGGAUUUUCCGUACCAGCUUGAGCGAUCAGAUCACAAUAUGCAGGGGCACGACGAAUCUGGGGUGGCUACCCAAGGCGGCACGGAUGCACGCCCAUGCUUGCUCUGCAUAUUCCACCUGUAGGUCGAAGACGAAGAUGUUCCUCGUAGCAGAUGCUUCCUCCGACCUUAAUCUGCACAUCCCCGGCCCCGCCGCCCUCGUCCCCUCCAUACUCGCCCAAAACCUAACCACGCAGCCGGGAUAAGAUCACGGCGCACCGCAACAUCCCCUCCUCCUUAUGCUGCCUCCGGCGCCCGAUUGAGUGGCCGGUAGCCACGCCCCUCGGCGGGCACAAGCACAACCCCAAGCUCGCGUCGCGCCGGCCGCCUCAGCGCCGCAAAUCCCGCCCGAGAAGUGGGACCACGGCUACCUGCAGGACAGAAACAGAGCGGAGAGGUCAGGAUUCGCCGGCCCGGGCAGCGGAACGGCACGCCCGCACCAAAUCACGGCCACCAGAACGAACCGCGGGAUUAGAGCCGCCGCCGCCGCCUCAAGCGUGCCGCCACACCUGAAAGGGGGUGGACGAGGAACAAGAAGCCCUGAG
rnacentral:lncRNA from 1 species